AUGCCUAAAAUGGUUGAGCUAGGUUCUUGUCUCAUGUAGCAACCUUGAGACCCAAAUGAAACCGGGCCAUGCCUAAAAUGGUUGAGCUAGGUUCUUGUCUCAUAUAGCAACCUUGAGGCCCAAAUGAAACCGGGCCAUGCCUAAAAUGGUUGAGCUAGGUUCUUGUCUUAUGUAGCCUAAUUCCAUUGCUGAAGAUUUUACUCUGAUCAGAGAUCAGGACCCUACCUUUUCCGGCCCAUGAUGUCUGCGAUUCUUUACUCUUCAGUAUUCCAUACUACCCUGAACAUGUUUGGACCGCAAUGAGUGCAGCCUACAACAUGUGCCUUUAUGUCCACCUAAUGCCCUUAUUUCUAGCUAGUUUCACUAAUUACGCAAAAGGAAUGGUGCAAUUCGACGGAGGUGUUCGCUCGUCUUAAGAAUCUAUUAUGAUCGCAACCAGGGUUGCUAAUCAAUCCGGCCAACCCAUGACCAUCGCAGUCACAACCUAGAUUAGGCCUGAUCUGAUCUAAAUUUGAAGCCCCAGCUUUUCGGU
rnacentral:lncRNA from 1 species